CAGUCGCCGCGGGAACACAGAGGGUGCGAGCGUUAAUCGGAUUUACUGGGCGUAAAGCGUGCGUAGGCGGCUUUUUAAGUCGGAUGUGAAAUCCCUGAGCUUAACUUAGGAAUUGCAUUCGAUACUGGGAAGCUAGAGUAUGGGAGAGGAUGGUAGAAUUCCAGGUGUAGCGGUGAAAUGCGUAGAGAUCUGGAGGAAUACCGAUGGCGAAGGCAGCCAUCUGGCCUAAUACUGACGCUGAGGUACGAAAGCAUGGGGAGCAAACAGGAUUAGAUACCCCAGUAGUCCCUGUCUCUUAUAC
rnacentral:rRNA from 1 species